CCUCUAAACAACACACAUGGCUACUGUAAGUGCACAUCAAAAGACCAUGGAUACUUUUAGGUGACACAACCUAAAUCUCACCAGGGUCCUCCACCACCUUAUCAGUAACCAGACCAAGACUUGUCUCAUAAUUUCUCUACCAAGACUCACUCCAUGGACUCUCCCACUAGCCCAGGAGAUCUGGAUCGUAAACCAGGAACGUGAGGUAAUAAAAGGAAAACUCUUCAUUUCGACACAAGUUCUGGUUCAGAUGCACCAGAACUUUCAACUGUCAUGAAACUGAUGCCAUUGUAUUGUGUACAAAAUCCUAUUAUUUGACAUUAGAUUGGUUUCUGUGCGAUGUUCAAUGCCUGAGCUGAGAUUUGCCAGGAAAUUCCUCAAGAACAACAAAGGGACUUAUCACCAUGCUUUCCUUUGUGUGAAUGUAUAAAAUUGAAAGAAAGAUACUCACCUUCUUCUGUUAAUCUGUGCACCAUAAAUAUAUGCUAGGCACAGCAGGUAAAUUAUGUAACCUCAUUUUUGUGUUGUCUUCUUAAGUAAGUCAAUGUUACAAAAGCUUAAUUGGUAAGGUCUAGAUCAAGCUUGCAAUUAUUAUUUCUGUAUGUUUAGUGUUUACUUGGAGUUACAUAGGGACAAGACAAAUGACAAAAAGAAAAUAACAUUCAUUUGUUACAGCGUUGUAAGGGACCACGUAUAAAACCUUAAUAAUCUAUGCAUUUAAUUUUGCUGUUUAACCAUUCUGACUUCUCUGCUUAUUUGAGUGUCAAAGUGAUCGUUACAUGCGUACUGUGUUAUGGUGUGAUGGAACUUUGAGCUUGAUGAAAAGAGGAAAGCUUAGUUAUCCCAGAUUUAGGAGAGAUCCAAAUCAAAUUGUUUGAUACCUGAUCUGAAGAGGUGGAACUCUUAAUCACUGGUUGAACUCAUUUCCCUGCCCUGAAAAGACCACUGUCCCAGGGGUAUUUAAACCAGUGACACCCUAGCGGAAUUGGAUUUCUCGGUAUGUACAUUUAACAGCAGUAUGAUCAUUUGUUGGCCAAUAGGCAGUUUUAUUUGACAGAGAUUUUGGAUUUCACAUUUCAGUAGUUGUAGUAUUCAUUAUCUGAUAUAUAUUAGUGUCUAUAUAUUUACUCUGUAUGCAGUUGGUCAACUUAUUUUGAUAUUUUAGUCUGUUGACGGGUAAUUUGUAAUUCUAUUAUGAUGCAGAUUAUGUGGAAAAGCUGAUGGAGACCAUCUUCAAUAAAUUCCUGCUGGACCCAGGUCAUUAUAUGGAGGACCAUAUUAACAUCCCUGUCCCACCGGCCCUCUGAGCAGAAUUUCAGCAACCUGACAAGGGGUGUCAAGGAAAAUAGCUGCAUCCUCCAUCUGUACAGCAGCUGCACUGCUUCCGAUGUCUUCCAAAACGUGAUGAAGACCACAAAGAUCCUCACAUCUCCCCAGCCAACUGUCCAUGACUGUACCUUUUCCACUCCAGAAACUAUGCUUUCAACAUAACUAUGAAUCCUACCCAUUCAUUUUGUGGUCUGCACAUGUUACUGUAAAGGUAACUUAUCCAGCAUUAUAGUGCUGGUGCAUUGGUUGACAAUAAAGUUGGCUUUUGACUA